AGAGUUUGAUCCUGGCUCAGAUUGAACGCUGGCGGCAUGCCUUACACAUGCAAGUCGAACGGCAGCACGGACUUCGGUCGGGUGGCGAGUGGCGAACGGGUGAGUAAUACAUCGGAACGUGUCCUGGAGUGGGGGAUAGCCCGGCGAAAGCCGGAUUAAUACCGCAUACGCUCUGAGGAGGAAAGCGGGGGAUCUUUCGGGACCUCGCGCUCAAGGGGCGGCCGAUGGCAGAUUAGCUAGUUGGUGGGGUAAAGGCCUACCAAGGCGACGAUCUGUAGCUGGUCUGAGAGGACGACCAGCCACACUGGGACUGAGACACGGCCCAGACUCCUACGGGAGGCAGCAGUGGGGAAUUUUGGACAAUGGGCGCAAGCCUGAUCCAGCAAUGCCGCGUGUGUGAAGAAGGCCUUCGGGUUGUAAAGCACUUUUGUCCGGAAAGAAAACCUUUGCCCUAAUACGGCGGGGGGAUGACGGUACCGGAAGAAUAAGCACCGGCUAACUACGUGCCAGCAGCCGCGGUAAUACGUAGGGUGCAAGCGUUAAUCGGAAUUACUGGGCGUAAAGCGUGCGCAGGCGGUUCGUUAAGACAGAUGUGAAAUCCCCGGGCUUAACCUGGGAACUGCAUUUGUGACUGGCGGACUCGAGUAUGGCAGAGGGGGGUAGAAUUCCACGUGUAGCAGUGAAAUGCGUAGAGAUGUGGAGGAAUACCGAUGGCGAAGGCAAGCCCCCUGGGCCAAUACUGACGCUCAUGCACGAAAGCGUGGGGGAGCAAACAGGGAAUUAGAUACCCCCGUAGUCC
rnacentral:rRNA from 1 species